CUUAAUAAGAGGCCUUUUUGAGCUUUAUAGGUAAAUAACGUAGCCCAUUAUUUCCAAGUUAAGAACUUCGUACUACAUUGUAGGCCUGGGCAUUUUACCCGUACCCGACAACCCGACCCGGAACCGACCCGAAAAACCCGGUUCGGGUCGGAUACGGAUAUAACCAAAUUACCCUAUUGGGUCUUACUUCUCAGGACCCGCGGGUAGAGUACCCGACCCGAAAAUUACCCUAUACCCGAUAGGGUUUUAUUAGACCCGAAACCAACCCUACCUACUUCUACUAUUCCCUUCCCCGAUGUACCAUUAAUCCCUUACUUUCCAAAAUCAGUUCCACUCCCCCAUAAGCAAUUGAAUCGAAGAGUUUGUCGAUUUAUAAAUUCCAAAGCCAAAAUCAAACAAUACAAACUGGAAUCUCAUCAGAAUCAAGUUCCCCUAACCCUACCCACUUCUUCAUCAGCAACAGCGUUGUCUACAAAUCGAACUAGGGUAAGCCUCGAACUUUUGAUUUGAAUCUUGUUUAUGUUUUUGGUUUAAUCCAAUUUUGAUUACUGAUUUGUGUUUAUGGUUUUGUUUUAACCCGAGUUUGACAUUCUUCUGUUCCUAUGUUCUGUCUAUACUUCUUUCUUUGAAGCUUCUUUGUUGUCUAUAAUGUAGAUGGCGUCUUCUGUUCCUAGAGUUUAAUGUUGUCUUGUCUAUAAUGUAGAUGGCGUCUUGUGAUGAUGGUUCAGAGUCCGAGUUAGAUAAAUCAGCAGAUGAAGUUGAGACUCCAAUCUCUCGCAAGAAAGCAAAACGUAAGAAACCAGAAGGCGCAAGUGGUUCAAGAUCAGAAAAGAAGAGGACGUCAAAGGUAUGGGAGCACUUCAGUAGAAAGAAAGAAGAUAAUGAUAGAGCCAUCUGCAACUACUGUGGGAAAGAGAUGGCAUGUGCAACAAAAUCAGGAACAACAAGCUUGAAGAAACAUGUGGCUCUUGCGUGCAAGUCUUACCAAGCAUGGCUCUCUGUGAACAAAGAAAAUAAUCAAGGAGCUUUAGAUGUCGGAGAAGAUGGUAACAUGAGAGUGUGCAAAGUUUCUGAAUCUGUCUUCAGACAAGCGACGAAUGAGAUGAUGGUUGUGGGAGAGUUGGCUUUAUCUUGGGUUGAGAGCGUAGCUUGGAGGAAUUUCUGCGAGAGAACUAAGCUGUACGUGCCUCAUUCUAGAAGAACAGCAACCCGUGAUAUUGUUGAGACCUUUGUGAAAAAGAAAGAGGAAAUGAAGAAGCUUCUUAACGAGAACAAGCAACGGCUGUCACUGACGACUGAUAUCUGGCUUGCUCCUCAUACCGGUUCCAGUUAUAUGGUGAUCACAGCUCAUUUUAUAGACAACUCAUGGCAGUUGAGGAAGCUCAUCAUUGGAUUCAAGAAUGUGUAUGAUCACAAAGGAUCAACAAUAUCUAAGGUACUUCUUGAUUGCUUAGAGGAAUGGGGUAUCAAACGAUUGUAUGGCAUAACCGUAGAUAAUGCCACAGCGAAUGGUUCAGCAUUGAGGAAGUUUAAGGAAGCUUUUAUUGAGAAAAAUGGGGAUGAGGCACUGGUUCUAGAUGGAAAGUAUCUGCAUUUUAGGUGUGCUACUCACAUUCUCAAUCUGAUUGUUAAAGAAGGUUUACUGGAGAUAGAGAGCAGUGUCAACGCCAUUCGCAAUGCCAUUUAUUUUGUGAGGUCUUCAACUCCGAGGCAGAUUUCGUUUGAGCGACAUGUAGAGUCACGACGAAUCCAGAGAGGGAGCUUACCGUUAGAUGUGAAAACUAGGUGGAAUUCCACCUAUUUGAUGUUAGAACAAGCAAUGAAAUUCAGGGUGGCUUUUAAGAAGAUGGAAGCUGAGGACAAGCCUUACAACGACUACUUCAAUGAAAUUGUGGAUGGAAAAAAACGAGUUGGACCACCAACUAAAGAUGAUUGGGAAGCAGUGGAUAGGUUAGUCCAGUUCUUAAUCAUUUUCUACAAAGCUACUUUGGUUUUGUCUGCAACAAACUCUAUUGCUGCGCAUAAAUUGUAUCAUGCGAUCGUCACAGUCACGAGAAACAUCACUGCUUUAAGCAAAGCUCCUGGUCCUGAUGAAGCUUUAAGGUCUAAGGCAGCAAACAUGUUAGGGAAGCUAGGCAAGUAUUGGAAUCCAUUUGGGACAAAUCCUGAGAAGAUGAAUAAACUUGUCAUUGUCGCUGGUGUUCUUGAUCCAACCAAGAAGAUGAAGGUUACCAAAAAGCUAUUUGAGAAGUUGUAUGGAGAAGGCUCGGUUGAGGUUACUCAUUUGGAAGAUGAAAUCGAGGACAUUUUGAGGACUUUGUUUGAUCUGUACAAUGGCAGUGGCAGUGGUGGUUUGGGUUCAACGUUUAAUAGUCAGUCUCAAGGUCAAGGACAAAGACCAUCUUCUCAAUCUCAAUCUCAGUCUCACUCACAAGAUCAGUUAGGAGAUGAAGUGUCUCAAAGGACAGUACUUGGUAAUGGGCUUGCCUACGAGAGCAUGAACGACAUCUACAAAGAGCUUAUUCAAGAAACCGGAUUUCAGGUAAAUACUAGUGAGUUGGAUACUUAUCUGAAAGAGAAUGUAGAGAUUCCAAACCUUUUAGGUGGUUUAGAGUAUGAUGUACUCUCUUUCUGGAGGGUUAAUAGUGCAAAGUAUCCGGUUCUAUCAUUGUUAGCUAGGGAUGUACUUGCAAUGCAAGUGAGUUCUGUUGCUUCAGAGUCGGCUUUCAGCACCAGUGGCCGAAUUUUAGAUCCAAGCAGAAGCUGCUUGACACACUAUAUGAUAGAGGUGUUGAUGUGCACAGAGCAGUGGCUCAAAUGUGAGAUUAGACUCAAAGGAAAAGGAACCCCAGGAAAAGAAAAAAUGCUUAAACUGAUAGAAGAAGAAGAUGCUCUUAUGAGAGGUAUAAUUUCUAGUUUCUAAUCUCUUUCAUCUUUAUGUCCACUAUAAUGAUCUUCACUGUUUUUUUUUUCAGAAUUUGAACCUAUCUUUCAAGCUUGAAAGCUACUGAUUGCGGCUGUUGGAGACUCAAGACUGAAUAUCAGUUUGUUGUUGUUGUUGUGUUUUCCUUCUCGUUGCCUAGUUUUUAUUUUUUGAAGUUUUACUUGGUAAGUUUGUUGUUGUUAAAUUGUUAUGUCUACUACUCUGCUUAUGAUUUAUGUUAAACUUGUGUGUGGGUUUUAUGACAUUUAUGUUAUGAAACUACUUGAUCAGUUUGUUAUUGUUGCUAUUAAGUUUAAAAUGUGCUAGUAAAAUUGUAAGCAUUGCUAUUGCAGGUCUGUAAAUUGUAAGCAUUGCAGGUAGCUAAUUGCAGGUUUUUAGUACAUCUCGGGCACACAAGGCAUUUUCUACCCGACAAUUCUAAUUUGUACCCGAAAUUAGAAAAAACCCGACCCGUAAAUCCAAAAAUAUACCCGAAAACCUCAAAACGACCCGAAAACCCGAUAACCAAACCGAAUUUUUUUUAAACCGAAAAAUGUCGGGUAUUACCGGGUUUUACAAUCAAGGACCGACCCGACCCGGACCCGGACGAACCCGAACCGACCCGAAACCGAAAAUUUAAAAUUACCCUAUCGGGUCCUCUACUCUUCAACCCGAAAGACCCGGACCCGGAAAGACCCGACCCGAACCCGACCCGAGGACCCGAAUGCCCAGGCCUACUACAUUGACUAGAGAAGUUGCUUUCGAGAUUGACAUUAUUACAAUAAAAAACGCUAAUCUUGUUGUAUAAUUCAUGUUUAUGCCCAUAUCUUGUCUUUAUCACAGAAUCGACGUUUGAAUCAUUGGGUCUGAGACAAGUGGAUCAAGCCCACUUUGCGACAUGGAAUAUUUUCGAAUUGUGUAGAGAAUAUCCUUUCUUGCUGCAUGCACACGUCAAUGAAGUCAUGAAGAAGCGUCUAGAUUAUGAAUUUUCUUUUCUGUGAACUAAGCUUGUAAGUUGUAACUUACUCAUCCUUAUUUUUUGAUACAAACUUUAAAGUUUGUAAUGGUAUCUUUAUAACUUACAGCCAAGGAAUAUGCUUUUUAUUUUUCAAGAUCUUUGAUUCUUUUUUUUUUUUCUCCUUGAUCGUCGUAUAUACAAGAUAACCUAGUUUAGUAACCACUUGCUCGCCAGUUUAUUAUUUUUUUUGUGGGGUGUUAUAGAUGGAUCCGGACGCGGUAAUGUCCUAAUCGUGUUAUAAAACUAUUAUUGUGUUUAUAGUUUAUUGUGUUUCCUUGUGUGCUUAAGAUGGGUGUGUUAUUCUGUUGGUUUCUAGUUAAGCAAAUUAAGUAUGUUGUAUUUGAAUAGUUAAGACUCAUUUCUUCUCUUUUUUUUUCUUAUAACAAGAUUUUGGAGACAUAUAUAUUGUAAACAAACGUGAAUUAAAUGUGAAAAACAAGAACAUUUGAUGAAAUUCUUUUUAUUGGUGCAAUGAGAUUUAAAUCAUUCUAAAAUUUAUUGUUUUUUUUUUUUAGUUUUGCGAAAAAGAUGAAUAAUGAAUUUUCAGUAAUUUUGAAUAGAACGGUUUGGAUAAAAUGAACUGAAAAGGUGUCGGUACAUUGGAUUUGGUUCCAUUGAUUGAAAAUGCUUUAGACACAAGUCAUAAAAUAUCAUUGUAUGUUUUGAUAAAAGUAACCCCGACUCCAAGAGGUUGAGUACAUUUCUAAAUCAAGAAAACUAAAAACAACAAAAGAUUCUUUGGCGGUCCCAUGAGGCUGAAGUUCGAAAAGCUAAAUAGACUUAAGAGUUGAUCUCUCUUUUUCUUCUUUUCAAUAUUAGAUUUCUUCUUCUUCUUUACAUCUCUUUCCGGUUGGUCUUAUAGUUUCAAAUGUCAUUACAGUUUCAUCAGCGAAUCUACGCAGAUAUUUUUUUAUUUUUAUAUAAAUUAAAAAUUAAUUUAUAUGGCAAAUUUAAAAACAUUAUGUUUUAAAUUUGAUUUUAUAUAGUUUGUAAUUGUAUAACAUUGUUGUUAAUUUUAAAAUAAUAUUGUUGUUCAUGUACACUAUUCUCUGAAGUUUUUAAAUUGGAUGUUAU
rnacentral:lncRNA from 1 species